rnacentral:rRNA from 1 species
AUUGCACGCUGGCGGCAGGCCUAACACAUGCAAGUCGAGCGAGCGGCGGACGGGUGAGUAAUGUAUGGGGACUGCCCGAUAGCGGGGGAUAACUACUGGAAACGGUGGCUAAUACCGCAUACUAUCUGCUAACCCAUAUGGGAUUAGCUAGUAGGUGGGGUAAAGGCUCACCUAGGCUACGAUCUCUAGCUGUGCUGAGAGGAUGAUAAGCCACACUGGGACUGAGACACGGCCCAUACUCCUACGGAGUCAGCAGUGGGGAAUAUUGACCAAUGGGCGCAAGCCGGAGGCAGCCAUGCCGCGCGUAUGAAGAAGGCCUUAGGGUUGUAAAGUACUUUCAGCGGGGAGGCGUUACCCGCAGAAGAAGCACCGGCUAACUCCGUGCCAGCAGCCGCGGUAAUUC